rnacentral:sRNA from 1 species
CGUUACAAAGCUGAGGGCAAAUGUAGUGGACGUGGACGUCGAUUGCACCGGCAGUAAUGAUGAGCUUUUCUCCGGCGAUGACUUCGGUGCUAGAGCCGAAGAUCAUGCCUUCGGUGACACCGUCCAUGAUAUCUGGGUUACCAGCCUUUCCGAUACCCACGAUGAUACCAUUCUUGAUACCGAUAUCGGCCUGCGUAUCUACGUCAGUAAAUUGGUUUUGCAUCAAAUGAGAGACUUGCCUUAUAGAUACCACUCCAGUCGAUGAUCAAUGCAUUGGUGAUCAGCAGGUCCAGCACCUCAGAGUCAUGCCUAUCGGACGCCUGCCCUUGACCAUCACG